rnacentral:rRNA from 1 species
AUUGAACGCUGGCGGCAUGCCUUACACAUGCAAGUCGAACGGUAACGGGCCUUCGGGUGCCGACGAGUGGCGAACGGGUGAGUAAUGCAUCGGAACGUACCUUUCAGUGGGGGAUAACGUAGCGAAAGUUACGCUAAUACCGCAUAUUCUGUGAGCAGGAAAGCAGGGGAUCGCAAGACCUUGCGCUGAUUGAGCGGCCGAUGUCAGAUUAGCUAGUUGGUGAGGUAAAGGCUCACCAAGGCGACGAUCUGUAGCGGGUCUGAGAGGAUGAUCCGCCACACUGGAACUGAGACACGGUCCAGACUCCUACGGGAGGCAGCAGUGGGGAAUUUUGGACAAUGGGGGCAAUCCUGAUCCAGCCAUGCCGCGUGAGUGAAGAAGGCCUGGGUU